rnacentral:rRNA from 1 species
UACGUAGGGUGCAAGCGUUGUCCGGAAUUAUUGGGCGUAAAGAGCUCGUAGGCGGUUUGUCGCGUCUGCCGUGAAAGUCCGGGGCUCAACUCCGGAUCUGCGGUGGGUACGGGCAGACUAGAGUGCAGUAGGGGAGACUGGAAUUCCUGGUGUAGCGGUGAAAUGCGCAGAUAUCAGGAGGAACACCGAUGGCGAAAGCGGCUCUCUGGAACGGUACUGACGCUGAGACGCGAAAGCGUGGGGAGCGAACAGG